AACACUAAAGAUUAUAGGAUUCCAGUAUAUAAAGUAUUUACCAAAAACUCAAUAUUUUCGAAGGGGGUUAAUACAUGGAUUUUGAGAAAAUUUCAAAAAAUAUGACAAUAUUUUUUUAAUGCAUAGUUGCAUCAUGCACUAACAUAUGAUGAUGUUCAAAGAGGUUUGGAGCGUUUGUUGUCUCCGUUUUUCAAGAAAAUAUUAUUUUAUAGUGGUUAUUCCAUCGAUUUAGGUAAAAUUAUGAAGUUUUACUAAAUUAAUUAAUAAAAAAAUUAUAACGAUUCUCAUAUACCAUGAAAAAGAGCUUAAAAUACAUUAAUACAAAUGUACAAUGUGGUUAAAAAAUUUAUAACAACACUAAAUAUUAUAGGCUUCAGUAUAUAAAGUAUUUACCAAAAAUUCAAUAUUUUCGAAGGGGUUAAUACAUGAAUUUUAAGAAAAUUUCAAAAAAUAUAACAAUAUUGAUUUAAUGCAUAGUUGGAUCCUGCACGAACAUAUGAUGAUUUUCAAAGAGUUUUGGAGCUUUUGUUGUCUCCGUUUUUCAAGAAAAUAAUUAUUUUAUUGUGGUUAUUCCAUCGAUUUAGAGAGUAUUAUGAAAUUUUACUAAAUUAAUUGAUAAAAAAAUAUAACAAUUCCCAUAUACCAUGAAAAAGAGCUUAAAAUACAUUAAUACAAAAAUGUAGAAUGUGGUUAAAUUUUUUAAAA